UUUUUUUCCUUUAUUUUUGUGCCUAUGGCUGCUGCAGUCUGGGACCUUGCUGCUCUGCUGUUAUUGCCCCAUUUUCCAUUGCAUUAUAGUUGCCUAACCUAAGUUGCCUGCUCUUCAGUACGUUGGCCAUUGAGGCUCAACUGCUUCCUUUUAAGGCCAGUGAGGAACUCUCCCCACCUCUGCUCCCUCAACAGAAUGUCUUUCUGUCUGGGCUGAAGCAAGGAGCCUGCUGUGCCUGACACCUGGCAGUGAUAUUUGUGGAGUCCCACCUAGGAGGCAAGACCCUAGAGAAGAUAUAGAAAUCUGAGCUGCAGCUCUCAAAGGACAAGGUUUCCCUGUGCAGCAAAAUGUGAUUUAACAUUGAGUUGUCUCAAAAUAAAAGGCUGGAGGGAUUUUCUUUCCCACUUCCAUUUUAUAUCACGCUGAUACUCUUCUCUUUACCAGUAUCUUUGGGCUUUUGGUUCCUCUAACAAGAUACAGUCUGUUCUGCUUCUGGGAAAACUUGAGGAAAUGAACUGCAAAUGGAAAAUAUGUCCCCUCAUUUCUUUCUCUUCUUCCCCCACACUCUUUCUUAAAAAGAAAUGCUCCAAGCAUUUAUCUCCUUUUCUUUAAACCCAGGUUGCUUUUCUUAUGCUUUCUCUAGUGAUUUCGGCUAUGCUUCUUGUUCAAAAAGAAAUAAACCACUUCAUAUUUAAAAGCCACAAAUUGCUGCUUCCAUUUUGUCAGAAAGACUGGUCUCUGUCCAGGUUGAGAAAUAACACUCAAAUCUGCCAAGUUUUGUCAAACAUUACCUUCCUUUAACAAGAAAUAUUGGCAGUUCUUGUAUAUAAGAGAAAGAAGCCAUUUGAAUGGUUUCUGUGAGGGGGGAGGUUCUGUGUUUUCUUGAGCAUAGAGGAGGAAGAACGUGGAAAGACACUAAAAAAUCAAACAAAUACCCAAGCAAGGGCCAAUUUUAGUCUAUAAUUGUUAUUGUAUUCUGCUAGUCUUAGUCAUGUAGUCCAAUCCUCAUUGAUUUCUGAAGGUUCCUCACAAAGUAAGCUAAUGUUUAACGUAAGUAUUACAGGAUCUUGUCUUUCAGAAAUGAGAGCCAGGAAGAUUUACUAAUUCAACUGCCUUAUUCCUGACUGAUCAGCCUGCUUGAUUCAGGGUUACUUAACAGAUUUUUUUUCAAGUGGAAGUGUUUGGAAAAGCAUGAUAAUUACAUUUGUAUUCAUUCUAAUAUGAUGUGUUCCAACUCCCUCUUCAUCGUGUCUUACAGAGAGUUAUCUGGUAAAGGAAUGACAAGCCUUUGUGAAAAGAUUGCAAAUUCUGACAGAUUUCAGUUCUUGUAUGUACUCAUAUUUCAAGUUGCAUAGCAGUGCAAGAUCAGACUGUGUGAAAGAAAAUACUGCAUACACUUCUUACUCUGGGCUAUUUUUUAAGCUUAUGUGAUGCCAGACCCUGUCAUUGCAGGGCAGCCAGUUCACUUGUGACCUCAACCUUUUCCUCCUAGUGCACCUCUAUGCAGAAGAAAACCCACUGGUGAGUUGUGCUAUGGUGCUAUGCAUCUCAGUAACACUGUGGAGUGAUUGGCACUGAGCCUGUACCCUAGGGAUAGAUUCAGUCUCUGCCAAGAGGCAGUGUUGGAGAGAGGGUUACAGCUGUGAUCUGAAGGGACCUGGAAAGUCUACUGAUGUUUUCUUUCCCUGUGUCUUGCAGUGCCUAAAGCUGCUAAUUGUUCACAACUUCUUCUGUUCAUUAACCUAUUCUCUCCUUUAAAAUUCUGGUUUUUAAAAUAGAAAUCUCUAUCGUCUUUCUGAAAUGUUGAUCACAAGGAGGUACUGUGGGUGGGAAGGCUUUUCCAGGGAGGUUACGCAUGCCAGGCAGUCACUCUUGAAUGGUUAUUUGAGGUAGAUCCUUUAAGGUUUUUGAGGUUACAUGUAGUCUGAUGUGCCAGUUGCACGAUCUACCUCUUCAACAUUGAAAUAUUAACAUAAAUGCAUAUUAAGGUACUGUGCAUUAGCUCUUGAGCUGAAAUAAGAGAGAGCGUUCUAGCAGAGGCAAGCAAAUAUAAUUGGUUUAUACUGGCUUGAGGAUUUGGCCUGUUAUUUCUUCUCAGUAUGCUUGUUAGCAGAGCUACACGCUAUGUAGUUAAGGUUUUUCCUAGAAAAUGAGUGAGUAAUUGUAUGUUUAGGCUGUCUAGUGGUAACGCUGGGGAAUCUUUUGCAGAUACUCACACAGAGCUACUCAUAUGAGCCAGCCAUUUGUCCUGGGCCUACCUAUCUAGUACAUCUUCCUUCUCUCAGCAAUCUCAUCCAAGCAGAUACAGAAGAGCAGCUCGGGUGACCACAGGUACCCAUGUGUCUGACUAGUGUGGCCUUGGAAGGAGGCCCUGGAGCAGCUGUCUGUGCUUCUGAGGCAGAAUCCAUGGGCAGCCACAUCUCGUACCCAGCCUGCCUACAAAGAAACAACUUUGGAUUCGACUGAAGCCCCUGCAGAAGUAUGACCUUGCUGUUCUCCCUUGCUAAAAGAUACAGCCUUCUGUCUCCUUGGCCAAGCCAAGAUACCAGCAGAGACUUGAAUCCCACAAGAUCCUAGGGCAGGCUGGAUUGCUUUUAGCUCACUAAAAGCUGUGUUACACUGUUAUAACACAAGCUUCAGGUCUGUGUGCAUAGUGUUAUUUCAUUUUUGGGCUAUAUCCUUUGUAACACCUUUCAGGCUUGAGGAAGAGGCUUUUAACUGUUUCCUGCUGGCUGGCGAAGGAAAGGACAAUUCCCAGCCCUUUCCUUGGCUGUGGUCUCAAUCAAAUCCUGGCUGUUGCAACCAGGGCUCUGCAGAUGUGGGAACCCCUAAAGGAGAGAAUGUGGCUCUACUUCUAAUGCAGAUUGUAGGACAUCAGAUAACUAUCUGGGCAUGCAGGCACACAAUGCUUGGAUCAAAGGAAAAGCUGCAAACCAAUUUGGAUUGCUUUACUGAUACCUUUUCUAGUUCUUAAAAAUGCAAAUUUUUAGUAGAACCAGAAGUAUUUCUGAUAUGUCAGAACAGGCAUUUGAAUAAACUCACAAAUUAUAUAACAUAGUAGAAAGUGAAGCUCAUUUCUGCUUUCCCUGUUGCCUAGGUGAUUAACAUGAGAUAAAUGCAGUACUUCCUAUGUCUGUUCUUAAAUCUUUAACACAAAGAGUUUUUUGACUUGGUGUUGCAAGACGUGAAGGUGUUUCAAUAGCUAGGUUUCACAAGAGUUGGACUCUCCUCCCUUCCCAUUCCUUGUGUCACAUUUCUGCUCUAGAGGUCACCUUGUAGGUGCUAUUCAGUGCCCUCCAGACCCCUCAUAGGCUGGGAGCUGGAGUGGCUGAGUUCAGUGGUGUGUGUGCUUAUGCAUAAAGCUCACACUAGUUAAAAAUACCAAGUAAUAUAUAAUUAUCUGUAGUGCCAUUAACACUCUGUAAGCAUUAGAGCAGCAAAAGGUGGUUGGCCAUGAGAAAAAACAGAUUGCUGGGCUAGAAAUCAGGAUACCAACUGCUGCCUCUGGCUUUGGCACCAACUGGUGUAACCCUGAGCUAGUCAACUCAUUUCAAUUCCUCCCUUUGUUUUUCCUCUGUCAUGUCUAUUUAAAUAGAAUGUCCUUUGCGGCAGGGAUUGUCUCUCCCUGUGUGUUUGUACAGUGCGUGACACAGCAGGCCCCAAGCUCCACUGAUGGCUCCAGAACACAGAACCUUUAUGAGAAGAGACUUCUGCUGCAGAAAUCUGCAUAUACAGUGGCUUCAGAAACCUCAGUUCUGUUGCCUCUUUUCUCCUUCCUGAAGAUCUUAGGCUGUUUUUAAGAGAGCCUCAGCUAGAGGCUGCUGAAUGCUGGUGCCCUUAUUUGACAGAUCAGGAAAGAGAAAUACAGAAACAUGGUGUGGAUUUCUCCAGCUCAUACAGGAGAGAGGCAUUCUUUUCCUCUCUCCCCAGAUUCAGUGCUAUGAGGAGACAAGACAUUAAAUAAUAAAUACACACAUAAUCCACGUACACCUUCCAGCUUUUACCUCCUGCUUCCUCUCCUUCACAGGCCCACAGAAACCACAUCUGCAUGCUCUUCUUUUAGUUCUCCUCUUUCCUCCCCUCCUCAGCUGACCUCUGGAAGCACUUUAGGGAUUACCUGAGUAGCUCAGAGCAACAAAGCAAGAUCUCUGCUUUUCAGAGGCAGCUGCUGAAUAUGCCUGUAAUGCCUAAUCCAGCCUGAGGCUGUAGAUGCCUGCCUCCACCUACCCCUGUUUACUGUCAGAAUGAGGCAUUUGCUGUGAGACUGUGAACAUCCACACAUUGACAGUAAUCAAAUGUUGUUGUUGUUACUGCAUGUUUCUAU